GAUGAACGCUGGCGGCGUGCCUAAUACAUGCAAGUCGAGCGAACGGACGAGAAGCUUGCUUCUCUGAUGUUAGCGGCGGACGGGUGAGUAACACGUGGAUAACCUACCUAUAAGACUGGGAUAACUUCGGGAAACCGGAGCUAAUACCGGAUGAUAUUUUGAACCGCAUGGUUCAAAAGUGAAAGACGGUCUUGCUGUCACUUAUAGAUGGAUCCGCGCUGCAUUAGCUAGUUGGUAAGGUAACGGCUUACCAAGGCAACGAUGCAUAGCCGACCUGAGAGGGUGAUCGGCCACACUGGAACUGAGACACGGUCCAGACGCCUACGGGAGGCAGCAGUAGGGAAUCUUCCGCAAUGGGCGAAAGCCUGACGGAGCAACGCCGCGUGAGUGAUGAAGGUCUUCGGAUCGUAAAACUCUGUUAUGAGGGAAGAACAUAUGUGUAAGGAACUGUGCACAUCUUGACGGUACCUAAUCAGAAAGCCACGGCUAACUACGUG
rnacentral:rRNA from 1 species